rnacentral:rRNA from 1 species
CGAACGGGUGAGUAACACGUGGGCAACCUGCCCAAAANAGGGGGAGUAACACUUGGAAACAGGUGCUAAUACCGCAUAACCAUAGUUACCGCAUGGUAACUAUGUAAAAGGUGGCUAUGCUACCGCUUUUGGAUGGGCCCGCGGCGCAUUAGCUAGUUGGUGGGGUAAAGGCUUACCAAGGCAAUGAUGCGUAGCCGAACUGAGAGGUUGAUCGGCCACAUUGGGACUGAGACACGGCCCAAACUCCUACGGGAGGCAGCAG